GUUUGCUCCAACUGUUUUUAUUAAUAUUGCUAUGGUAACUUUAGUUAGAUUUUUAAUGCUAGACAUUGUUUUGCUCCAAACGGUUUCUGGAUAUGCAUGGCCACUUUAGUUAAACUUUAUUAGCUUGUCCUGCAAUUUUGGCCUAAACGUUUUUCAUUAUUUUGCACUUGCCUUCCAUUUGAACUUGUAUAGUGUGAUAUUCUCCCUCUGUUACCUUUCCCCC